rnacentral:rRNA from 1 species
AACGAACGCUGGCGGCAGGCCUAAUACAUGCAAGUCGAACGAACCUUCGGGUUAGUGGCGCACGGGUGCGUAACGCGUGGGAAUGUACACCUUGGUAAGGAACAACGUCGGGAAACUGACGCUAAUACCUUAUAAUAUCUCCGGAUCAAAGAUUUAUCGCCAAGGGAUCAGCCCGCGUCUGAUUGGCUAGUUGGUGGGGUAAUGGCCCACCAAGGCGAUGAUCAGUAGCUGGUGUGAGAGGAUGAUCAGCCACACUGGAACUGAGACACGGUCCAGACUCCUACGGGAGGCAGCAGUAAGGAAUAUUGGACAAUGGGGGCAACCCUGAUCCAGCCAUGCCGCGUGUGUGAAGAAGGCCUUAGGGUUGUAAAGCACCUUCAAACGUGAAGAUAAUGACGGUAGCGUUAGAAGAAGCUCCGGCUAAAUUCGUGCCUGCCGCCGCCGUAA